rnacentral:misc_RNA from 1 species
UAAGGAAGAGGAGAUGCUUAAGGUACAAAAUCGGCAUGAGCAGUUAUAAUUUGACUUACCCUUAUGUGUGAUCCAUUAUGUUGCUCCACAGUCAGCAAUAUAAGAGCAAAAUUUUACAUUUUUACUAUAAGCUCAUCAGAGUAGUUAUGUUCAUGUGUGUAGUUUGAGAGAGAAGUAUUAAUUUGCUUUGCAGUACAUCUGAUCUUUGAAACUUGUUAGUGCCAUAUUAUGUUUUUUAUGGUUUUGGCUUUCAAGAUAAAGAAAAAUUCAAAACAGAUCCCGUGGUAUAUUGUUUUUCAUUUUGGAAUCUGUGAUUUUUCCUUUUUUGGUACCAAUGAUGUACCAGAGAUUUUCAUCCUUUUUACUUGAAUAUCAUUGUUGGAUGAUGCUAUUCAAAUUGCACUCUUAUUAGUACCUGUGUGGUAUAUAAAAAUUAAAAUAACUCUUUAUAUAGAAUUACUAUUUUUGUAUACUCCUAGAAAAUAAAAAACAUUUGUACAUAAUUUUUCGUUUUUUCAUAAAAUCAGGAGGAGGAUUGUCAACAUUGCACCGAUGAGUCACCACAUGAUCAUCCAUCUAGAUUCGACGCGGAUGAUUUUCAAAAAUUUUUUUGUUUUGCCACAUUGUUGCUGUUUAAGGAUGAUUUUACUGACAUCAAUCUAAAACAGUAGCACUAAAGCAAUAAGGAUGAAAACCUCUAGUAUUGAGCUGAUACCGAGAAAAAGAGAAAAAAAUUGUAGCCCCG